GAUGAACGCUGGCGGCGUGCCUAAUACAUGCAAGUCGAGCGAACAGACGAGGAGCUUGCUCCUCUGACGUUAGCGGCGGACGGGUGAGUAACACGUGGAUAACCUACCUAUAAGACUGGGAUAACUUCGGGAAACCGGAGCUAAUACCGGAUAAUAUAUUGAACCGCAUGGUUCAAUAGUGAAAGACGGUUUUGCUGUCACUUAUAGAUGGAUCCGCGCCGCAUUAGCUAGUUGGUAAGGUAACGGCUUACCAAGGCAACGAUGCGUAGCCGACCUGAGAGGGUGAUCGGCCACACUGGAACUGAGACACGGUCCAGACUCCUACGGGAGGCAGCAGUAGGGAAUCUUCCGCAAAGGGCGAAAGCCUGACGGAGCAACGCCGCGUGAGGGAUGAAGGUCUUCGGAUCGUAAAACUCUGUUAUUAGGGAAGAACAAAUGUGUAAGUAACUAUGCACGUCUUGACGGUACCUAAUCAGAAAGCCACGGCUAACUACGUG
rnacentral:rRNA from 1 species